rnacentral:rRNA from 1 species
GAUCAUGGCUCAGGAUGAACGCUAGCGGCAGGCUUAACACAUGCAAGUCGAGGGGCAACGCGAGUAGCAAUACUUGGCGGCGACCGGCGCAAGGGUGCGUAACGCGUGAGCAACAUGCCCGUAUCAGGGGGAUAAUCCAGGGAAACUUGGUCUAAUACCCCAUAGUAAUUUUGUAAGGCAUCUUAUAAGAUUUAAAGCUUUGGUGGAUACGGAUUGGCUCGCGUGACAUUAGCUGGAUGGUAAGGUAACGGCUUACCAUGGCUACGAUGUCUAGGGGUUCUGAGAGGAAGGUCCCCCACACUGGAACUGAGACACGGUCCAGACUCCUACGGGAGGCAGCAGUGAGGAAUAUUGGACAAUGGAUGGAAAUCUGAUCCAGCCAUGCCGCGUGAAGGAAGAAGGUCCUAUGGAUUGUAAACUUCUUUUGUAUGGGAGCAAUAAGGCCUACGAGUAGGUUGAUGAGAGUACCAUACGAAUAAGCACCGGCUAACUCCGUGCCAGCCGCAGC